GACGAACGCGGGCGGCGGGCUUAACACAGGCAAGUCGAACGCGGAAGCUCAGCUUUUGUUGGGGGGAGGAGUGGCGAACGGGUGAGUAACACGGGAGUAACCUGCCCCCGUCUUUGGGAUAACGCCCGGAAACGGGUGCUAAUACCGGAUAUUCACUGGUCUUCGCAUGGGGGUUGGUGGAAAGGGUUUUGCUGGUGGGGGAUGGGCUCGCGGCGUAUCAGCUUGUUGGUGGGGUGUUGGCAUAGCAAGGCUUUGACGGGUAGCCGGGCUGAGAGGGUGACCGGGCACGUUGGGGCUGAGAUACGGACUGGACUUCUACGGGAGGCAGGAGUGGGGCAUAUUGCAGCAGGGGGGAAAGCCUGAUGCAGCGACGCAGCGUGAGGGAUCGAGGCCGCGGGGUUGUGAACCUCUUUGGCUCACGGUCAAGCCUCAAAAAUGGUGGUGGUGAGGGUAGUGGGUAAAGAAGCGCCGGCUAACUACGUG
rnacentral:rRNA from 1 species